rnacentral:tRNA from 1 species
GCCAAGGUGGCUGAGUCAGGUUUAAAGCGCCUGAUUGAUAGUUAGGUAAACAUCCCGCAGGAUGUUUCGCGGGUUCGAAUCCCGUCCCUGGCG